AUUGAACGCUGGCGGCAUGCUUUACACAUGCAAGUCGGACGAGUGGCGGACGGGUGAGUAACGCAUCGGGACGUACCGAGUAAUGGGGGAUAACUGUCCGAAAGGACAGCUAAUACCGCAUACUAUUCGAGCGGCCGAUGUCUGAUUAGCUGGUUGGCGGGGUAAAGGCCCACCAAGGCGACGAUCGUUAGCGGGUCUGAGAGGAUGAUCGGCACCACUGGGCCGGAGACACGGCCCAGACUCCUACGGGAGGCAUCAGUGGGGAAUGUUGGACAAUGGGCGCAAGCCUGAUCCAGCCAUGCCGCGUGGCUGAAGAAGGCCUUAGGGUUGUAAAGUACUUUCGGCAGGGAAGCGGUACCUGAAGAAUAAGCACCGGCUAACUACGUGCCAGCAGCCGCGGUAAUAC
rnacentral:rRNA from 1 species